GAUGAACGCUCGCUACAGGCUUAACACAUGCAAGUCGAGGGGAAACGGCAUUGAGUGCUUGCACUCUUUGGACGUCGACCGGCGCACGGGUGAGUAACGCGUAUCCAACCUUCCCAUUACUGUGGGAUAACCUGCCGAAAGGCAGACUAAUACCGCAUAGUCUUCGAUGACGGCAUCAGAUUUGAAGUAAAGAUUUAUCGGUAAUGGAUGGGGAUGCGUCUGAUUAGCUUGUUGGCGGGGUAACGGCCCACCAAGGCGACGAUCAGUAGGGGUUCUGAGAGGAAGGUCCCCCACAUUGGAACUGAGACACGGUCCAAACUCCUACGGGAGGCAGCAGUGAGGAAUAUUGGUCAAUGGACGGAAGUCUGAACCAGCCAAGUAGCGUGCAGGAUGACGGCCCUAUGGGUUGUAAACUGCUUUUGUAUGGGGAUAAAGUUAGGGACGGGUCCCUAUUUGCAGGUACCAUACGAAUAAGGACCGGCUAAUUCCGUG
rnacentral:rRNA from 1 species